UCCAUUAAGCCUUUUUUUCAACUUUGACCUCGGAUCAGGUAGGGAUUCCCAAA
rnacentral:rRNA from 1 species